rnacentral:rRNA from 1 species
CAGUCGCCGCGGGAAUACAGAGGAUGCAAGCGUUAUCCGGAAUGAUUGGGCGUAAAGCGCACGUAGGCGGAUAUUUAAGUCAGGGGUGAAAGCCCAGGGCUCAACUCUGGAACUGCCUUUGAUACUGGGUAUCUUGAGUAUGGAAGAGGUGAGUGGAAUUCCGAGUGUAGAGGUGAAAUUCGUAGAUAUUCGGAGGAACACCAGUGGCGAAGGCGGCUCACUGGUCCAUUACUGACGCUGAGGUGCGAAAGCGUGGGGAGCAAACAGGAUUAGAUACCCCAGUAGUCCCUGUCUCUUAUAC